UUUACUCAUGGAGCUGAAAUCAGUCGAAGAUACCAGCUGGCUGCAACUGUUUAUUAAAAACACAGCACUGUGCAAACACGAAAGUGGACGUAUACGGUGUGACGCCUGCCCGGUGCCGGAAGGUUAAUUGAUGGGGUUAUCCGUAAGGAGAAGCUCUUGAUCGAAGCCCCGGUAAACGGCGGCCGUAACUAUAACGGUCCUAAGGUAGCGAAAUUCCUUGUCGGGUAAGUUCCGACCUGCACGAAUGGCGUAAUGAUGGCCAGGCUGUCUCCACCCGAGACUCAGUGAAAUUGAACUCGCUGUGAAGAUGCAGUGUACCCGCGGCAAGACGGAAAGACCCCGUGAACCUUUACUAUAGCUUGACACUGAACACUGGUCCUUGAUGUGUAGGAUAGGUGGGAGGCUUUGAAGUGUGGACGCCAGUCUGCAUGGAGCCAUCCUUGAAAUACCACCCUUUAAUGGCUGGUGUUCUAACGUAGACCCGUAAUCCGGGUUGCGGACAGUGUCUGGUGGGUAGUUUGACUGGGGCGGUCUCCUCCUAAAGAGUAACGGAGGAGCACGAAGGUUAGCUAAUCCUGGUCGGACAUCAGGAGGUUAGUGCAAAGGCAUAAGCUAGCUUGACUGCGAGAGUGACGGCUCGAGCAGGUGCGAAAGCAGGUCUUAGUGAUCCGGUGGUUCUGAAUGGAAGGGCCAUCGCUCAACGGAUAAAAGGUACUCCGGGGAUAACAGGCUGAUACCGCCCAAGAGUUCAUAUCGACGGCGGUGUUUGGCACCUCGAUGUCGGCUCAUCACAUCCUGGGGCUGAAGUAGGUCCCAAGGGUAUGGCUGUUCGCCAUUUAAAGUGGUACGCGAGCUGGGUUUAGAACGUCGUGAGACAGUUCGGUCCCUAUCUGCCGUGGGCGCUGGAGAAUUGAGGGGGGCUGCUCCUAGUACGAGAGGACCGGAGUGGACGCAUCACUGGUGUUCGGGUUGUCAUGCCAAUGGCAUUGCCCGGUAGCUAAAUGCGGAAGAGAUAAGUGCUGAAAGCAUCUAAGCACGAAACUUGCC
rnacentral:rRNA from 1 species